CGGCGGCGCGGGCGGGAGGCGGCGGCGGCUGCUCGCGGCACAGCGCGGCGGGGCGGGAGCGGCGCAGCCCGGGGACACGGUUGCCGCCCCGGCUUGCGGGCAGGAGGGAGGGGCCGGCGCCCCGCGGGACCCGCGAGCCCUGCCCCGGCCUGGGCGGUGCGGCACGGGCGGGCGCGGGCGCGGGCGCGGGCGGGAGGCAGCGCUGGGCGGGGGCAGGGGCCGGGGCCAGGGCCACGCCGUCGGUUCGCGCCUCGUGGCGUUGCUUUCGCCGGGGGGCGCGCGCUGCCCCGCCCGCCGCGCCUGGCCCAGCCCGGCCCGGCCCGGGGGCCGCUCCGCCGCCCGCGCCAGCCAGACAUCUUCCCUCUUUUGGGGUGCAGAGCAGAGAGACACUGAAAGGACUUCAUUUCCAGAUUCUUCUCAGGAGGUACUAGAAAGACAGCAUUUCAACUGAGAGAAUCCGGAUCAAAACAGCAUUUGCUGAGGACACUGAAAGAAGCACCCAUCUUUGGCAUUCCUUCAUCUCCCAUUCCAUGCUCCUCAGAUCUCUGAAGCUUCGUUGAAAAGAAACCCCAGAGGUUGCAAGACCUAGUCCAAGAUGUGCAGCUCAGUUGCUCCCAGGCUGUGGUUUUUAACAGACCGUCGCAUCAGAGAAGACUACCCUCAGCAGGAGAUCCUGAGGGCACUCAAGGCUAAGUGCUGUGAAGAGGAAUUAGAUUUUCGGGCCUUGGUGAUGGAUGAAGUAGUACUGACCAUUGAAGAUGGAAACCUCGGUCUCCGGGUAAAUGGGGAGCUUGUUACUGCUUACCCACAGGUAGUGGUGGUACGUGUGCCAACACCCUGGGUCCAGAGCGACAGUGACAUCACAGUUCUCCGUCACCUGGAGAAGAUGGGUUGUCGGUUGAUGAAUCGGCCCCAAGCCAUCCUCAACUGUGUCAACAAAUUCUGGACCUUCCAGGAGCUGGCUGGUCAUGGUGUGCCUCUCCCAGACACUUUCUCGUAUGGUGGUCAUGAGAAUUUUGCCAAAAUGAUUGAUGAGGCAGAGGUUCUGGAGUUCCCCAUGGUGGUGAAAAACACGCGGGGUCACCGAGGAAAAGCUGUAUUCCUGGCACGAGAUAAGCACCAUUUAGCAGACCUGAGCCAUUUGAUCCGUCAUGAUGCCCCCUACCUGUUCCAGAAAUAUGUCAAGGAGUCCCAUGGCAAGGAUGUUCGUGUCAUUGUAGUAGGAGGUCGCGUGGUGGGCACCAUGCUCCGCUGCUCAACAGAUGGAAGGAUGCAGAGUAACUGCUCACUUGGCGGUGUAGGGAUGAUGUGCUCACUGAGUGAACAAGGCAAGCAGUUGGCAGUCCAGGUGUCAAACAUCCUGGGGAUGGACGUAUGUGGCAUCGACCUACUGAUGAAAGAUGACGGCUCAUUCUACGUCUGCGAGGCCAAUGCAAAUGAUUUCCUCCUGUCUGUUGCAAGACCAUCCCUUCACCACCACCCUUGGCCAUCAGUUGGAACAGGAGAGCUGAGUGAGCACUGCAGUGGACCUGGGGCAGGAGCUGUUGUGGAAACCUGCAUAAUUCCUUCUGAUUGUGAUAGAGGGUCUUUUGGCCAUGUUUUACCCUGGUAAGAUGACAGGUUCUUCCCCUAUGAGAGUGAGUGGAACAGGAGACCUGAGAGGUGUGAGGAGGGCAGAUCUGUCUGGACUGAACACUCACUUCCCAGCUCGAGAACACAUCUGCUUUACAGAGCAUCUCCAGGAAUCUUUUCUCCUUGGCAGCGCUUGAGAAGGGAGGGUAUAAAAAUGUGGGCCUUGGUUUUACAAAGCCAUUUCAGAUGAAACUUUGGUUGUGUAGCAAAGGCUUCUGAGAUGCAACAGAAGCAGAACUUUUAUGUAUUCAGUUCAGCCCUCCUGGUAAAGGUAUCCAAGGGAGAACAGGAUGUUUCUUUUCAUGGACCCCAAGUGGGGGAAGGGGAAUGCAUAUAUCAAGAGGAGUGGGCUUCAGCAGGCUAGGGCUCUGGGGAGAGAGCUGGAGUGUGGAUUAGGCUAAGACAAAGAGGAGCAUUUACACUGCUGAGGCAGGGUACUUCUCCAUUUCUCUUGUUCUCUGAUAUCAGGGUAAGCAUGUGAGGGCUGCGUGGGGUCAAGGAGAGGAACUGGGAACAAUUUCUGACACUGCAACAAACCUAAACUCUCCAACAACAUGAUGAAUAAUGCAAGUGUUGCCCAAGUGCAUCAGUGAUAGGUUCUAGGCGGAGCUAGAUUAGCACAUGGAGAGGAGAGGGUUUGUUAAAAAAUAUUAGUGGGUUUCAUCCCUUGCCUCUGUUUGGCAGUGGUGUUUGUUUCUAUCACUGCAUCACUAAAACAAAUAAUUUUGCUCUUUUUUUUUUUUACUAGGGUAUACAGAAGUUUUCCAUGCUUCAGCUCUGUUUCUAAAAGUAAAAUGCUGGGUGGGGUGGGAGUAUUAGCUAGAGGGGUAAAGUUUCAUUCCUUCAUAGUCCAUUCCAUGCCUUUUUUUUACUUCUUUGUAGGAAGCAUGGUUGGGGUUGGGGGAGUGUGGGGGGAGUUACAUUUGUGACGAGCAGCCUUUUUAGUGCCUGUGCAAUAAGGCACUAUUUGCACCCACAGUUUAAUCCUGAUCUGGCAUUUCUUGAUGUGCUUGGGACAGCAGGCCCUGUGGUUAGUUGGAGGAAAGAGCAGGAGAGCAAAUCUGUAAGGAGUAAGAAUUGUCACUUCUGCCUGCCUUAAAUAACUGCAUCCCUUGUGGCUGGCAUUUUAAAGCAUCCUGGUGGGCUUGUGCGCACAUCUUAUUAAAAGAACAGUUGGCUGCAGAAAGCCCUGCAGUGUUCAGGGUUGAAAUCUGUUGGGGGGAAGGGAGAGAUCAGGCUCUAAAAGUAGCUUAGGCCAGGCCUGCCAUCCCAUAAUGAGAACUGGCUUCCCAGGAUUAGGACAAAAAGUGUGUGUGCUAUAAAGGUGACAUAUCCAAGUGUUAUUUUUGAAAAAAAUAAUGUAAAUUGAGCAGGUUGUAUUCUAACCCAUUAGCUGGUUGAGGUAAACUGCUGAAAGGAUAUGAAUGCUUACUAAACUAGUUUUCCCAGUCUAUACUAGGCAUUUAAAAUACGUUGAAAUAUUUUGCCUAAUGUUUUGCUCUAGUCUGUUAGAUGCCCCCAAAGCUAUCAACCUUUAUAUUUAAUUCUGCAAAGGCAAAAUAAUUAGAUCACAUGUCCCAAGUCAAUCAUUUAGUCUGCAUAUGAUAUCAUUCUUACUGUGGUGGCAUGAUGGGAUGAGCAAAUGCUGUUUGCUGUCCUCUACAGAAAUGGUUAUUUAUCAACUUGUAGAGCAUUAAUAACUGUCACUGAGUGGUGUCUUUUUUUCUGAAGAUCAGUGUUCUUAAUUUUAGUUUUACUGUAUCCCUGCAUAUUUUUGUCCAGGUGUAGGAACUGGCCAUUUACACAGUAAUGUUAUGUCUGAGUUGAUAUAAGGCAGGGCUGUCCAACUUCUAAGUGCCCAGGGACCAUGCUAUUCUAUCCACAGGCCAGAGGGCUGUGUGGAUGUUCUCCUACCCUUCUGCAAGGUAUGCCCUUACAGGCACCCUUGCCCCACUGCUCAGUGUAGGGCAUGGGCAGGCACUUAUUUCAGGAGGAGGGCCACUUACUGAGUUUUGGCAAGCCAUUGAGGGCCAUAUGAUAGGCAGCCAGGGGCAGAGAAAUAUUAAUUUUCUAAAUUUUUAGCGGCCCCGUGGGCCAGAUAGAAUGGCCUGGUGGGCUGCAUUUGGCCCGCGGGCGCAUUUUGCCCACCCCUGGUGUAGGGUGUAAUUGUUCUGCCCAGUGCUCACCCUCAGCUCCCUCUGCUGCUUGCUACAUUGCCCCACCUCCUUGGGUGAAGGCAGGAAAAGGCAGCUGGAGGAGGGAGGAGAAACACAGGCACAGUGGCUUCUGCAGGUGCAGAAAUGAGGGAACACCACCUCAGCAGGAGUCUGGGGAGCUCAACUUAAUCCCUUAUGAGCCACAUGUGGCUCAAAGGCUGCCAUUUGGACAGUCCUAGUGAGGGUAACAAGUUACAGGUGGCUGUGCUAGAUAUGGACCUUAGUUUUGUCACUUGGGACAGAAUGGGACCAACUGACAUGUGACACACGUGCCUUUUUAUAGUCUCAUAAAGAGCUGGUUAGCAUUUAGAGAAGAUUCUUCUAAUUAAAUUAUUUUAAUCUAAAAAUGUGAAUUUCUCAAAACCAAAACUUCUCAGGGGAAUGCAUUGAUUUCAAGAAAGAUUUUUUAUUCAAGGGGUGAAAUUUGUGGUGAGAAAGUAGGACAGGGCCCACCUCAGCAUGGCUGGUAGCACAGGGGGUAGAUCUUUACAACACACUUGGUGUUACUUUUGGGCUUUUUAAAGCAGGUUUUCCCCACUAACAUCAAAUGCGUGGAGGGAGCUCAGCAUAUGGGGCUUUAAUUCAUUGAUGUAUGCAGAGCACUCAGGUUUUUGAAGAGAAGGAGCUAUAGAAGUGUGUAUUAUUACAUAGGUAAUAAAACAAGGACUCUCCUAAGCCUGAAAAUGGAAACCUCAAGCUAACAGGAAGAUAAUGGUGGUGAAAGGUGCUGGAUCAGCAGUCACAGAGAUUGAAGCCCUCUGUCCACAAGACAGGUUUCGUGAAGCAGCAAGAGAUCUUCCUGCCAGAAACCUUUCCCUGCUCCCUGAAAGAUAAA